AUAACGCGACCCGAUAUAAUACGAAUUCGGAUAUAACACGGUAAAGCAGUGGUCUUGUGGGGGCGGGGCUGGGCACUCCCGUGGAUCAAAGCAACUUCGAUAUAACGCGGUGUCACCUAUAACACGGUAAGAUUUUUUGGCUCCCAUGGACAGCGUUAUAUUGAGGUAGAGGGGGGUGUAUUUUAAAAUAACAUUUUC